UUAUUGUAUUUUUGUUGAUGAUUGCCUAUAAAACUUGUGGCUUAUGCAAUUUCGAAGAAAUAUAAUAUGGAACGUUAUCCGAUAUAGUUUUUUUUUGUUUUUCAUAUUAAGUAUAGAAAUCUUUUAGACCAUACAAGAAUCGAUACAAUAAUCUAACUAGCCAGACGCCAGUUGUUAUACAAUAUUCUAGGUUUGAUUUGUGGUUUAGUUUUCCAUAUACUU
rnacentral:lncRNA from 1 species